CAGACCCCUCUCCCCCUGGACUCGUUCCCAGGGACGACAGGCACAGAGCUGGGCCGGGAGGUGCUCCAGAGGCCACCCCGCCGCCUGGCCAGACCCGCCUGGGGCUUCUGGGAGCAGAGGCCCGGGACAGCACAUGAGGCGGCCCAGGAGGGCAAGUGAGGAGCCGUGCUGAGGUCUAAGUCACAAGCUCUGCCGUCACGCUGGAGUCCAGGAGGUUCCCCGCUGGAAAAAGAAAAAUGCCUGGCGCUGGUUGGCUCAGGAAAGAGCCCCAGCGAGGAGCUGGCAAGUGUCUCCGGCCUGGGAUCGACAGCUUCAGGCCGACCCCUCCGAGGAGCCUGGGGGAGCAGAGUCAACAUCGAGGCCCCCCCGGAAACAGCGCUCUCCCAUGAUGGCCCACGGGUGCCGUGGAUGUUAGACCUGAAGUCCCUGCUGACCCUCCCAAAGGCGCUGAGAGGCGCUCGGGUGCAGAUGUGUGACCUUUGGCAACUUACUCAACUUCUCUGUGCCCCGGAUUCCUCAUCCCCCACGAGGGACGGUGACCCCUGCCCCUCCCAGGACUGUGCUGUGCCAGGAAGCUCAACUGACGGACACAGACGAGGCGCCUAAGCGCCCCUUGUCUAGUCAGAGCUCAGGACUCACGAGAGGCUCUGAACUACAAGCCCGUCCCAGAAAGACCACCUUGGCCUGAGAAAGACCCGGACGCUCUAACCUGAUCACUGAUUCGGCAAACGCAGAAGGCAGCGGGGACGGAAUGCAAGAUUACGGCCAACUCCCAGCUGCCUCGCAGCCCAGGUGCACAAAGCCGGGGGCCCUGGGGGAGCCCCCCACUCCCCGGAGGCCCACACACCUGAAAAAUGUGGUACUUCAUGUCACUGAUCUCAAUGGUUUUGCUGCCAUUGCCGUCUUGCUCUGAUUUAUUGGUCAUCAGCGUCUUGAACCUAGAGCAAAGGGGGUGAAACGAGGCGGGUCUUGAGCACGACUUCCCCUUCAUCACUGGGCAGCAACGGCGCCAUCCAUCACCUGACCGGUCACCGGGAGACGGCGCAUUUUUAAAAUUACUGCAGUGCUCCCAAAAUAAUUCUCAGCAAAUGGCAGCUUACAUCAUCCGGGGCUGACAGCUGGGCCGGGCCCCGAUCUGUCCCCAUGGCCCCCCGCGAGUGACUGUGACACCGUUGGCCAGAAAAGUGACUCUUCAUUCCAGAAUCGUUUCUAAUAACUGGAACCAGUAGCUCAGCCGGGAAGAACACGGCCUCCGAGCUCCUCUGGGUCGCCCUCCUACCGUCCCUCUGUGCACCUGCCCUCGGCCCGUGGGGGGACACGUGAGCCAGGCCCGUGGCGCAGAGGCUCGUCUCCCGAACACCGUCGCCCGGCGUCUAGAUGAAGCCGCCCCACCGUCCGGGCCGGGGCUCGUUCCCAGGGGCAGCCUACCUGUUGGAAGCCGUCACCAGCAGGACUUUGUGUGCAUAAAACAGCUUCCCUUCCACCAAGAAGGUCACAUCGGACAUCUCCUUGUUGUUCAGAAAGUGAGGAUCUGUGCCCAAAGGGAGAGGCGGAUGUGACCGAGGGCCCCCUGGGGGCUGCGUAAGCAUCCCAAGAGGUCAGGGGGCACGAUGGGGUUAGGACGGAGACUGAGGCCAGGGCCUCGGCGGGCUGGGAGCAGAGUGGAGAGGGUGGGGUGGGCAGGCCUCACCGAGCCUGGCGGGCAGAGUCUUCCGGAUCUCUGGGAUGCUGGGGACUGGGCUGCUGCCGUAGCAGUGCGUGAAGAUGGCGGCCAGCUGCUGGGUGACGGCAUCGUUCUGCGGGGGGCAGACACGGCCGUGAGCCUGCCUGGCCCCACCACCACCUCCUGCCCUGCAAAUCCCAGGCCCUGUGCAGGGCGGGAGGGUCUGCACGCGCCCUGGGGCUCGGCGCUCACGGUGGGAGGCCCGGCAUCACUCACUUUGCUGCUCUUGAGGAUGUCAAACAUGAGCUGCAGGCCCUCGGUCACCAGCUCCUCGUUGUAUUCCUCCUCCUUGAUGGAGCCGAAGUCCCGCAGGAGGCUCUGCACCACGGAGUACCGCGACUGGGAGAAGGAGGUCCUCAGAGACUCGAUCCACACGUGCAGCUUCCAGGGGACGCCUGGGGCGGGUGGGGGGGGGCACCUCAGCUCCGCCGGCCCCGUGCAGACCCCCGGUCCGCACCACCGAGACCCCGAGUCGGUGGGCCCCUGGUAUCUGCAGGGCGGGGGUGUCCCCCCCGUCCCCCCCCAUGACCUGGCAGGCCCUGCCGGGAGGUCAGAAGGACUUCAGGGGCCCAUCAGGUAAGGCCGAGGACUGGCUGCGGCCUGGGGCCACCCCAGCCCCACUGUUUGUGGGGCCCCGGAACUCCCUCGUGGGAAGACCUGCUGAUUAUGAGGGCUGGUGGCUGCGCUUGGACGCCUAGAGAACACGCAGGACAGCCAGGCCCACGCCCGUCUAGAGGCCGCCCGACCUCCCUCCGAGCGCUUUGCCAGCACGCAGGUCACGGGCACCCAGUGGCGUAUAAUUACUGUGCACCAGCUCCCCGGAGUGUGUCAGCGGGGCCAUAAAAUAACUUAAAACUACUUUGUGGAGGUCAUGGCAAAAACUAGUAAUUUUCCUGGUAAUUAGAGAGAAGCUUCUUACCCCCCAGCCUCACUGUGGCAUUCCCCAGGGACACAAUGACGUGGGUGCCAUUAGCAUCCUCAGUUUACUGACUGGAUGGGAGCGAGCUGCCCGUUGGGCAGUGAGGAGCCCUGAGCCUGGUGGGCGGCAUGGCCUCCCCUGGCCCCUGUGGCAGUAGCCCUGCCGCCGCUGCGCACGCGUGUUCACGGAGCGCCCACGGGCCUUGUGGGACCUCACGUUCUUAGAGGAUCAUCAGCGCCAGUGAACGUGGAGCUGCCGGGACCCCACCCAGGCCUCCGUGAGCGGCCUCCCGCGAGGAAGGAGCCCCGCAGACUUGCAGGCACAAGGGGCAGAACUUUGGCCAAGGGACAGAACGGCAAGUUGGCCAGCAAUGUUGGCUCGGUGCUGCACAUGCGCCGGGGGCCACGCAGCCCAGGCUGUGAGGGGCCGCGGCGCGCCGACCGCGGAGGAUGAAGGGCCAGGGCGAUGCCCCGCAGACGCAGCCCCGUCAGGGACUGUCCAAGGCUCGGGGCGUGGCCUGCCCCGUGCCCAGCUGCCCCAGCCUGUCUGCCCCGGCGGUGUGGGCCCCGCCCCCUCCAGUCAGCUAAAGAGCAGCAGAGUGCGAGUGCAUGUGCGCGUGCAUGUGCGCACGCCCGCGGGGCCUCACCCAGCGCCCUCAGCUCCAUGGUGAUGUCCACGUAGCCGUGCUCGGCGCUGUAGUACAUGGCCUCCUGCAGGGCCUUCGUGCGGGUCCGGCUCAGCCGCACGGGCCCGUCGCUGCCGCUGCCCUGGCUGGACGUGUCACUCUCCUCCACGCCCUCGGCCAGGAUCUCCUCCAGGGACAGCACGUCCGCCUUGGCCUGCUGGGGCUGCGUCAGGAGCUUCCUCAGGACAUUCCUGCAGGCCAAGGCACGAGGGAGGGUGGGGCGGAGGUCCUCACUGUGACGCAGCCCGUCUGAGGAGCCCUCCAGAACCCUGUGGCCUAGAUGGGCUGCUGCGCGGCACCCGUGGGCACAAGGGAUGCAGGCUUCCCCUCCCAGGCAGGCUGGGCCGGCGCUCCCAGCAGCCUCCAUCUGCAGCCACCUGAGUGAGGCAGGGGAGGGUACAAGGGACCCUCGGGUACAAGGGACCGAGGGUCACCCCACCCCCUGCCACCAUCCCAGUACAGUACAGUACGACUAAGUCAUGGGCUCUGGGGCCAAGCAGGCCCUGCCAUCCUGGCUGUGUGGCCUCAGAGGGGUUGCUCUGCCUCUCUGUGCCCUGACUGCCCUGUCAUCUGCAAGCGGGGUGUCCGCAUCACCGUCUCCCAGUGUUAACGCAAGGCCAAUGUGACAUAGCAGGUGGAGAGCCUGACACACGGCAGUCCCCGAGGUGGCAGCCAGCUGUACUGCAGGAAGGGUCUGAAACCCGGGACGUGCUCAUACUCCUGUUCCCGGCCUGACCAAGAAUGAACUGAAGUCCAGGUUCAUUCUGACCCUGUGACAGGCUGCGGACACCGCCACUCACGGCCGGCGAAUGCAUCCUGCUCCAGGUGGCACCAGGCAAACCCCGGCUCAUUCCGUCACACCCGGGGCCUGAGGUGACUGCGCGUAGGCAGGUCCACAGGUCACCUGGGGCUGAGCCUCCCCCCCAGCCCCGCCCAGCCCACUCCCCAGUCCAUGGUGGAGGUCACGUUGUGCCUGCAGAGACCCCUCGAGACCCCCGGGGGCAGCCUGCCGUCGCCCUGCUCCCCAUGAGCUCACAGAGCAUCUGCUCUGCCGGGCGCUGGGAUGUGAGGUGAGCCGCCCCACUCCUGGUCCCCAGGUCCUGUGGUCCAGAGACAGAAUGGGGAGCAUGUGCGUGGACAGAGCGUUACUGCACAGGGUGAAGAGGCUGCGGUGGGGGCAGGACGGGGUGCUGGCUGCGUGGG